GCCUGGAUGGCGGAAUUGGUAGACGCAAGGGACUUAAAAUCCCUCGCCCGUUAACGGGCGUGCCGGUUCGAUUCCGGCUCCAGGCACCA
rnacentral:tRNA from 1 species